rnacentral:rRNA from 1 species
CGCCCUUAGAGUUUGAUCAUGGCUCAGGAUGAACGCUAGCGGGAGGCUUAACACAUGCAAGCCGAGGGGUAAGUUAGCUUGCUAACUAGACCGGCGCACGGGUGCGUAACGCGUAUGCAACUUGCCCUACUGAAGAGGAUAGCCCAGAGAAAUUUGGAUUAAUACUUUAUAAUAGACUAUGGCAUCAUUAGUUUUGAAAGAUUUAUCGCAGUAGGAUAGGCAUGCGUAAGAUUAGUUAGUUGGUAAGGUAACGGCUUACCAAGACGAUGAUCUUUAGGGGGCCUGAGAGGGUGAACCCCCACACUGGUACUGAGACACGGACCAGACUCCUACGGGAGGCAGCAGUGAGGAAUAUUGGACAAUGGGUGGAAGCCUGAUCCAGCCAUCCCGCGUGUAGGAUGACGGCCUUUGGGUUGUAAACUACUUUUAUCUGGGGAUAAACCUACUUACGUGUAAGUAGCUGAAGGUACCAGAAGAAUAAGCACCGGCUAACUCCGUGCCAGCAGCCGCGGUAAUACGGAGGGUGCA